AUGGCGUCGGCGAUUCCGCCAUGCGGCGGCGAGGGCGUCCAUGACGGCGGCGAGGGCGUCCACGGCGGCGGCCAGGACGUCCACGGCGGCGGUGAGAUGCCGUUCUGGCCUCCUAGCGGAACGGUUGGCGUCGACGGGGAUGGCGGCGAUGAGUCCAGCUCCGCGUACUCGACCGACGACGAGGAGUCGAUGUUACUCACCAUGGAGCAGCGGUUGCGGUUGGCGCAUCAGUGGGUGGCGAACCCUAGCAGCAGCCAUGAGUUGACGCAUGGACUUGGCGGCGUGCUUUUGGAUGAAGACAUUUGGCAAGUAAGGAUCCAUUUUGAUGCAAGAGAACCAUUGAAGAUGAAGCUGUGUGGUUCAGAUAUUACUUAUCUGAAUUUGGUUGCAGUGAUGGAAACCCAAGGAUUUAAUGCAUAUGAUUGUUUGUUUCACAUUGAAAAUCCAUCUUUAGGAGAGAAAGGGCUGGAUUUGGUAGACAGUCAUGCAGAAUUACAGAUGAUAAAGAGGAAGAUCCAGGACAAAUUGGUGCUUAAUUUGCUAGUCAGGGCUUGUCCACCCCCUGAUACUGAUUUUGAGAGGCAGCAUUUUGAAAAGCCAGACUUGUCCACUGUGGUGUACCAAGAGCCUGUUGUUUAUGAUCUGAGUGAGCCUCCUAUCUUAGCUGUUGAUCAGGAAGGAGUAGUCUUUGAGAGUCAAUGUAGCACACAUCACCCUGUUGCUCCUGCUGGUGUUUGCACACAAGAAAGCAGAAAUGCAACUAACAAGUUGAAAGCAGUUUUGGAAGAAGAAGAAGAGGGAUAUCAAGGAUUUGAGGCUUAUGAGGACAGUGAUUCCUGUGAUGAGGAUGGUCAAAUUGGAAGUGACCCUAAUUACAUGGUUGAUGAAGAAGAUGUAGAGGUGGAAGAGGGAAAGAGGCAGAGAGAGCUAGAAGUACAAGAGGAAGAAUCAGAUGAUGAUCAAUCAGAAGAGGAAGAAAUGCUGCAUUAUGAGGGUGACACUGAAGUUGAGGACCCAUUUGAGGUAGAGGAAGAUAGGACUUUUGAACAAGAAGAAGAAACUAUAGUUGAACCUGUAAAGAAGAAGCAGAAGCUGCCAGUUAGAAGAGGCCCAACCACUAGGUCACAUUGUAGUGAGCUACCAGAGGUUGAACCUGAUUUUAGACCAUCAUCAGAUGAAGAAGAGAAGGGGUUGUUGAGGGAGAGUGAUGAUGAUGGUUUUCAGCCACUCUCUUUUGUCCUACAAAAGAAAAGGAAGAGUAGGGCAAAGAAAAGGCCUCCUAGGAAGUGGUACAAUGAGAAAAUGGAGCAACCACAUGAGCAACUGUGUAUGAAGUUGUGUUUUAGGGAUCAGCAUCAAUUCAGAGAAGCUUUGUUGAAUUUGCACAUCACCCAGGCCAGGAAUUUCAGGUAUCACAGGAAUUCAGAUCAGAGGAUAAUUGUUGAGUGUACAGAUAAAAAAUGCCAGUUCUUAAUGGUGGCAGCAGUUAUAAAAGGGGAGAAAACCUUUGUAAUUAAGAAGAUGAGACUAGAGCACACUUGCCCUAGUACCACUGAGACCACCAGGGUUAGUGUUAAGUGGCUAGCACAGAAAUAUGAGCAUCUCUUUAGAUCUGAUAUAACUACUGGUAUUCAGACUUUAAUUGAUGCAUGCAAUGAAAAAUAUGGUGUAGAUGUGCCCAAGUGCAUGGCAUAUAGGGAAAAUAACAUAGCUAUUGAUGCUGUGUUAGGAGAUCACAGGAAGCAAUAUCCUAGGCUUAAAGACUAUGCUCAGACUGUCAUGGACACAAACCCUGGGAGUAGAGUAAUAGUCACUACUGUUACUCCAGUACCUAAUGCCAAAAUACCCCACCCAGGCCCAAGAUUCCAUGCCAUGUUUUUUUGCCUUAAUGGAGCAAGGGAGGGGUUUCUCAAUGGGUGUAGGCCUUUCAUUGGUGUUGAUGGAUGCUUCAUUAAGCUCACUACAGGUGCUCAACUACUUGUUGCCACUGGUAGAGAUGGCAAUAACAACAUAUAUCCACUGGCAUUUGGCAUAGUUGGUCAAGAGGACACACCUAGUUGGUGUUGGUUUCUACACCAACUGAAAAUUUGCCUAGGGGGAGAAGUGGGCAAGUUUGGAGCUUAUACUAUAAUGUCAGAUAGACAAAAGGGGUUAUUGAAUGCAGUGAAUGCUGUGUUUCCAAGUUGCAACCAAAGAUUCUGCCUUAGACAUUUAUAUGCAAAUUUCCAAAAUGCUGGGUUUAGGGGUGAAGAUCUUAAGAAGUGCAUGGAUAAUGCUAGCUAUGCCUACAAUGAACACAAAUUUAAUAUUGCAAUGAAUGAUCUUAGAGCUGAAAAGGUGUUCAACAAGUACAUUCUAGAUGUUAGGAGAAAACCUAUAAGGACAAUGUGUGAUGGGAUAAAAGAUAAGCAGACGCAAACACAUGCUGUCAACCUGGAACUUGAGACUUGUGGAUGCAGGAAGUGGGACCUUAGUGGCAUACCUUGCAACCAUGCCAUCUCUGCAAUAAACAAGGCUAAAAGGAAACCAGAGGAUUAUGUCAGCAAAUUCUUCAAGAAAGAUUUUUAUGCUGCAGCUUAUGAACCAAUGAUCUUUCCUGUGCCUGGUGAGCAUGAUUGGACAAGGACCCCUGGUCCAGACAUAGAACCACCUGCAUUCAAAAUCAAGAGAGGAAGAAGGAAAGAAAAGAGGAUCAAGGGCAAAUUUGAAGUACCAAAGCCAAAAGAAACUUCAAGAAUGGGGACCAUAACAUGUGGCAAUUGUGGUCUUCAAGGGCAUAGGCUAAUCCAAGUACCUCACAGCCAAGAGCUGCUGGUCCUUCUACUGCACCAACAGCAAGACAACCAAGACCUGCUGCUUCUGCUCCUACACCACCAUCAUCUGGAAGAAGAGGAGCUGGCAGAGGAGCUGGUGCUACUUCUACUACAACACCACCAUCUGGCAGAGGAAGAGGAGCUGGCAGAGGAAGAGGAGAUGCUACUUCUACUACAACACCACCAUCUGGCAGAGGAAGAGGAGCUGGCAGAGGAAGAGGAGCUGCUACUUCUACUACAACACCACCAUCUGGAAGAGGAGCUGGAAGAGGUGCUCCAAUGCCAUUCAUUGCCCCAAGGCAAUAUGCUGACAUUCCUACUGAUGGCACACACACUGGAUGGAUGUCCUACUUCACUGCUAGCAUGGGAGGUGGAGGAGCCAUGAAGAAGGGGGGAGGAGUCGCGCUCGCCGGUGCGCUACCGCGAGAACCCAAUGGCAUACGAGCCUCCGGUGAUGUGCCACUGCUCAACUCCGAGGAAGGCGCCAAGAUGGAUCUCCUGGAGCAGGCAGAACCCUGGUAGGAGGUACUACAGCUGCGUGGAUGCUAUGCACGGUGGCUGUGGAUUUGUGCAAUGGCAUGAUGAUCCAUUGCCCACAUUCUGGAGUGAGCUCAUUGGGGAUCUGCGUGACGAAGUAUGGAGGCUUAAAGGUGCAACUUUUGCUAGAUCUGAAGAUCAAUUUCCAAUCCUGACUCCAAGUGAAGAUGAUGGCACAAGGGAGGCCAUGUUUCUGUCUCUGCAAACUCAACUCAGAGAGAAGAAUGCAGAGAUUGCAGGGAUUAGGGCCAAAUUUCACAAUGUGUUGUUUCUUUUCACUAUAUUUGUGCUUGGCUUAGUUGCAGGCAAGAUAUUAAGUUAG
rnacentral:rRNA from 1 species